rnacentral:rRNA from 1 species
UUAUCCAUAAAGCCGG